UACGUAGGUGGCAAGCGUUGUCCGGAUUUAUUGGGCGUAAAGGGCGCGCAGGCGGUUCGUUAAGUCCGAGGUGAAAUCUCCCGGCUUAACUGGGAGGGCCGUGCGAAACUGCCGGGCUUGAGGUCGGAAGGGGAAAGUGGAAUUCCGGGUGUAGCGGUGGAAUGCGCAGAUAUCAGGAAGAACACCAACGGCGAAGGCAGCUCGCUGGGACGGUACUGACGCUGAGACGACGAAGCGUGGGGAGCGAACCGG
rnacentral:rRNA from 1 species